GAUGAACGCUGGCGGCGUGCUUAACACAUGCAAGUCGAACGCGAACCUUACAUUGAGGCCUUCGGGUGGAUAUGUAAGAAUUCGAGUGGCGGACGGGUGAGUAACGCGUGGGUAACCUGCCUCUAACAGGGGGAUAACAGCUGGAAACGGCUGCUAAUACCGCAUAAGCCUCCACCAUCGCAUGAUGGAGAAGGAAAAGUGUCAGCGGUUAGAGAGGGACCCGCGUCUGAUUAGCUAGUUGGUGAGGUAACGGCUCACCAAGGCGACGAUCAGUAGCCGACCUGAGAGGGUGACCGGCCACAUUGGGACUGAGACACGGCCCAAACUCCUACGGGAGGCAGCAGUGGGGAAUAUUGCACAAUGGGGGAAACCCUGAUGCAGCAACGCCGCGUGAGUGAAGAAGUAUUUCGGUAUGUAAAGCUCUAUCAGCAGGGAAGAAAAUGACGGUACCUGACUAAGAAGCCCCGGCUAACUACGUGCCAGCAGCCGCAGUAAAAC
rnacentral:rRNA from 1 species